UCUUGAAAAACAAAAUUAUGUGGCUGUAUAAUAUCCUAACAGAGAAACAUGCUUCUAAUCGAAAAUGCACGAUAAAUCUUACCUAGUCUUGUAAUACAUUUUAUACACAGCCGUCGGAAGAGAAAAUUUUCAAAUUUACUCUUUACCUUUUCAAGGUGUAAGUCAGGUCCACGCAUAGACUAUGAUUAGGAAACAGUGUGUUUCAUUAAUAAAAUGAAUCUAUCUAAAUGAAAUAAAUAAGUUGAAAUCUAUUUAGUAAGUGAAUCUGUUAGUAAGGUAUGGUUAAUAUUUAUACCUGAAUUGUGCUA
rnacentral:rRNA from 1 species